rnacentral:lncRNA from 1 species
GGAGAAAUUGCACAGGUAAACUCUACUGAGCCAUUCAGUAAAUUCUACUGAACCACUCUAAUUACCAUUUAAUGAUGACUCUUACAACUGAAUUCAACCAAGAUGAGCAAUACCAUCUGCAUGAUAGCUGGAGAGAAAUUUUGGUUGUGGAUCCAUUUCCUUUAUUUGCUGGAAUAAAAACCCUUUCGUUGAGAAGACUCCACCUAAAGAUUCAGUCUGGAGCACUUCCAAUAAUCAUACUUUCCUGGGCACCCUGAUUUUUUUUUUCUGUAUAACAUUUACUAUUUUCUGUUCUCUGUGUCAUUUCUUAUGGAUGCAUUCACAGUCGCUUUCUUAUAUGAAAUAAAAGUUGGUGUAAUAAAACAGAUCUCAGAGAGGCAUUUUUAACAUGUGGCUGUUUUAGAUAUGGUCCUGGCUGCUUCGAAGCUCUUGGAUGGAGUCCCCAUCCUGAAUUCUCUUAGCGUCAAUCCCCCCGUUGACGGAAUGAGAGCUGCCCACCUCUCACAGUGCUGUUGGAAGGGCCUAUUGGGAUGCCAGUUAGGAAGUCGCUUGGCUAAUCAGAACGUGCUGCAUGAGUAUAAAAUGCUGCAGAGCACCAAAAGAGCAGACCUGAGCACCAAAAGAGAAGAAUGUGUGAACAGCCUUGAACUCUGCAAAGGAAGAGGAGGGACGAAUUCAGGUGGACUUCUGAUAUCUCAUGCUGGAGUUCUCAACAUGUUAUGAAGGGCACAUCAAGGAAAUCACCAGCUAGAGCAUGAAGGCACUGUUUUACAUACCUCAAUUUAGAGGAAUGAAUAAAAACUUUAUGGAGUUUGAGUGUAAUUAAAGA